AGCUUCCUGAAUCCGUGCUGAGAUUUCGUUAGAUGCCAACCCAUGAGGGCGGAUCAAACUCCCAAGAUAUGAGAAGUU
rfam:Schistosoma curassoni strain Dakar, Senegal genome assembly, scaffold: SCTD_scaffold0004447